rnacentral:rRNA from 1 species
AUUGAACGCUGGCGGCAUGCUUUACACAUGCAAGUCGAACGGUAACAGGGUGCUUGCACCGCUGACGAGUGGCGAACGGGUGAGUAAUGCGUCGGAACGUGCCGAGUAGUGGGGGAUAACGCAUCGAAAGGUGUGCUAAUACCGCAUACGUACUGAGGUAGAAAGUGGGGGACCUUCGGGCCUCACGCUAUUCGAGCGGCCGACGUCUGAUUAGCUAGUUGGUGAGGUAAAGGCUCACCAAGGCGACGAUCAGUAGCGGGUCUGAGAGGAUGAUCCGCCACACUGGGACUGAGACACGGCCCAGACUCCUACGGGAGGCAGCAGUGGGGAAUUUUGGACAAUGGGCGCAAGCCUGAUCCAGCCAUGCCGCGUGUCUGAAGAAGGCCUUCGGGUUGUAAAGGACUUUUGUCCGGGAGCAAAUACCCAGUGCUAAUAACGCUGGGGGCUGAGAGUACCGGAAGAAUAAGCACCGGCUAACUACGUGCUAGCAGCCGCCGUAACAC